CGCCAUACCAGUAACCACAUUUUAUGGAAAGAGGAGAGAUCGUUGUUGCUCUGGCUACAGACACAGACCCGGCUCUGGAGGCUGCAGCUUUAACCUCUACAGCGAAGGUUAAGGACUCAAUGCACCACACAGACGCCGGACCAUAAAACCCUUAUAUCCAAUAAAAGUGGUAUAAAGGUUCACAUAACUCCCUUUCAACGUACAUCGAGGUUGAUGUGGUUUAUGAGUCAGAAAAUAAGAAGAAGCAGCACCUGCUCCGAGUCAAGGUGACAUUAACUAGUUAGAGGAUUGUUACACAUUGAUUUGCUAUCCGUCACCUUCCAAUCAUCCCCUUCCCCUCCCAGAGAGAGAUCGCUGGGACAAUCAAGGAACGAUGUCAUCGAGGGCAUCGCACAGGUGGUCAUUUCUCAUGUUACCAUGGCAGCACCUGGCAGUUGUUGGGAUAAAACGAAGACUUACGGACAUCUGGUGCUCAGUGGUGCAGCUUGUUUAACUGCGUCUCCCUCAAUCUUUCCCUCCUCUGUCCCACUGUGCCAUAGUCUUGCUGUCCAUCAUCACGCAGAGACGUGAGAGGUGGGAUUUCAUGCAUUUGAGCAUUUACUCAAUUAUUUUCAUUUUAUGCAACUUACUUUAUACCUUUAUUAGUGGUUACAAUUCUACAACUUCUUAAGGCAAAUAAACUUUUUAAAAACCCUUGACCUUUUUUUAGAGGUACACAGUUCCCUUAUAUAUGUGUAUAUAAACAUAUAAAGAUCUUGUAGAAUAUAAAGUCUUGCUGUAGAUUUAACUACCCAACAGUAUAGAAAGGUAAAAACAGCACAACCGUAAACAUCUGCAGCAUUACAAUGCAACACACACAUCAAUGCUGCAGUGAAAUGGACUUCAUAUAUGACAGUAAAACAAAAAUGACACAUGUAGAUAGCUAGACCCUAAAACCCUCAUAUCCAACAACUGUGGUGUAACGGUUCACAUAACUCCCAUUCAACCAUAUCUGAAAAAGCCUACAUAGUUAAUUAAAGUAAUGUUUGGAAUGGAAGAUUUUUACCUUUGCAUUAUAUUUAUUGUAUCAUAGGUGAAUUAUCUUUAUAGUUCUUCCAUACCGGUUGAUUUUCAAAGGUGGACAGAGCCUCUGAUAAGCAAGCACAACGUGUUGUCCUCCAUCAGCUUGGAACGGCUGGGUUAGGUUUAACAGUACUUCUCCAUUUUCUUAUUUUCCCACUUCUUUCCCUGUAUCUCUUCCAGUCUUAUCUUUAUGGUGCCUGCAGCUGUCUUUCUGUUUCCGCAGAUAUUAAGAGAUAACAGCGGCAGACAGAUGGGCAAAACUGUUGAAUGGACUGGUUUAUUGGCUAUUUACAGUUGACAGUUUACUUCAUAAUUCUUAAGUUAAUAAGUACAGCUAAGAGUUCCAACUGGAGUAUACUGUACAUGUGAUCCUGUCUUUAUACAUUUCUAGCUUUAUGGAUGUAUCCAAACUGGAAUUGGAGUUAAAGAGCUCCAUUGCAUCUCAGUAUGAAGAUAGUUUUAAACUGUUGACACUUGAUGUUACCAUUAAGCCACUUCUAUAAGGCUCUAGUUAUCAGUUUAGUGUAGUUUUUAUAGUUUGCAGGUAGGAUUUUAUGUCAGACAGUAGGUUGGGUUUCUACCUCCCAAAUUCACUUGCUUUAAUAUGGUAUUUUAUC